rnacentral:rRNA from 1 species
GAAGCCGAAGAAGGACGUGGCAAGCUGCGAUAAGCCCCGGAGAGGUGCAAACAACCUUUGAUCCGAGGAUUUCCGAAUGGGGAAACCCACCUAUAUUAAUCAAUAGGUACCCAUAGCUGAAUAAAUAGGCUAUGAGGAGGUAACGGGGGGAACUGAAACAUCUAAGUACCCCUAGGAAGAGAAAGAAAAAUCGAUUCCCUUAGUAGCGGCGAGCGAACAGGGAAGAGCCCAAACCAUGGAGUUUACUCUAUGGGGUUGUGGACACAUUCAUUAAGAUAUGGCAUUUGUAGUCGAAUAUGUCUGGAAAGGCAAACCGAAGAGGGUAACAGUCCUGUAGACGAAACAAAUUAAGUAUUGAGUGUGAUCCAGAGUACCACGAGACACGUGAAACCUUGUGGGAAGCUGGGGGGACCACCCCCCAAGGCUAAAUACUCUCUAGUGACCGAUAGCGUAUAGUACCGUGAGGGAAAGGUGAAAAGAACCCCGGAAGGGGAGUGAAAUAGAACCUGAAACCUUAUGCUUACAAGCAGUGGGAGCGUUAAGUGACCACGUACUUUUUGUAGAACGGGCCAACGAGUUAUGGUAUGUAGCAAGGUUAAGGUGUUAAGCACUGGAGCCGUAGCGAAAGCGAGUCUUAAUAGGGCGUAUAGUUACAUGCUGUAGACCCGAAACCGGGUGACCUAUCCAUGAGCAGGUUGAAGCGGGAGUAAAAUCUCGUGGAGGACCGAACCUAUGUCUGUUGAAAAAGGCUAGGAUGACUUGUGGAUAGAGGUGAAAUUCCAAUCGAACCCGGAGAUAGCUGGUUCUCCUCGAAAUAGCUUUAGGGCUAGCCUCGAGUUAGAGUCAUGGGGGUAGAGCACUGAAUGUCUGAGGGGCCUUCACCGGUUACCAAAGACUAUCAAACUCCGAAUACCAUGUACUUGAUGCUCGGGAGUCAGACUAUGUGAGAUAAGUUUCAUAGUCGAAAGGGAAACAGCCCAGACCAUCAGCUAAGGUCCCAAAGUGUAAGUUAAGUGGAAAAGGAUGUGGGAUUGCGUAGACAACUAGGAUGUUGGCUUAGAAGCAGCCAUUCAUUCAAAGAGUGCGUAAUAGCUCACUAGUCGAGUGAUCCUGCGCCGAAAAUUAUCGGGGCUAAAACUUACCACCGAAGCUAUGGAUAUCUAUUUAUAGAUAUGGUAGAGGAGCAUCGUGUACCGGGUUGAAGCAGAAUUGUCAAGUUCUGUGGACUGUACACGAGAGAGAAUGUUGGCAUGAGUAGCGAGAGAUGGGUGAGAAUCCCAUCCGCCGAAAACCCAAGGUUUCCUGAGGAAGGUUCGUCCACUCAGGGUUAGUCGGGGCCUAAGCCGAGGACGAAAGUCGUAGGCGAUGGACAACAGGUAGAGAUUCCUGUACCACCGAAAAUCGUUUGAACGAUGGGGGGACACAGAAGGAUAAACUGAGCACACCGUUGGUUGAGUGUGUACAAGCAGUGAGGGAGAUAACGUAGGCAAAUCCGCGAUAUCAAUUCUGAGCUGUGAUGUGGAGUGAAAUUUAGUAGCGAAGCAGUUGAUUUCAUGCUGUCGAGAAAAUCCUCUAGUGAGAUUGUAGGUGCCCGUACCGUAAACCGACACAGGUAGGUGAGGAGAGAAUCCUAAGGCGAGCGAGAGAACUAUUGUUAAGGAACUCGGCAAAAUGACCCCGUAACUUCGGGAGAAGGGGUGCCUGCAUUAUGCAGGCCGCAGUGAAUAGGCCCAGGCGACUGUUUAGCAAAAACACAGGUCUCUGCUAAAUCGAAAGAUGAAGUAUAGGGGCUGACGCCUGCCCGGUGCUGGAAGGUUAAGGGGAAGUGUUAGAGUAAGCGAAGCACAGAACUUAAGCCCCAGUAAACGGCGGCCGUAACUAUAACGGUCCUAAGGUAGCGAAAUUCCUUGUCGGGUAAGUUCCGACCCGCACGAAAGGCGUAACGAUUUGGGCACUGUCUCAACAAUAGACUCGGUGAAAUUGUAGUACCGGUAAAGAUGCCGGUUACCCGCAGCAGGACGGAAAGACCCCGUGGAGCUUUACUGUAGCUUGAUAUUGGAUUUUAGCAUUACAUGUACAGGAUAGGUGGGAGGCUUGGAGCCCGGAACGCCAGUUUCGGAGGAGCCAUCCUUGGGAUACCACCCUUGUAAUGUUGGAAUUCUAACCAUGUGCUGUUAUCCAGUACUGGGACAGUGUCAGGUGGGCAGUUUGACUGGGGCGGUCGCCUCCUAAAAAGUAGCGGAGGCGCCCAAAGGUUCCCUCAGCGCGGUCGGAAAUCGCGCGAAGAGUGCAAAGGCAAAAGGGAGCUUGAUUGCGAGACAUACAGGUCGAGCAAGUACGAAAGUAGGGCUUAGUGAUCCGGUGGUUCCGAGUGGAAGGGCCAUCGCUCAACGGAUAAAAGCUACCCCGGGGAUAACAGGCUUAUCUCCCCCAAGAGUCCACAUCGACGGGGAGGUUUGGCACCUCGAUGUCGGCUCGUCUCAUCCUGGGGCUGAAGAAGGUCCCAAGGGUUGGGCUGUUCGCCCAUUAAAGAGGCACGCGAGCUGGGUUCAGAACGUCGUGAGACAGUUCGGUCCCUAUCCGCUGUGGGCGUUGGAAACUUGAAUGGAGCUGUCCUUAGUACGAGAGGACCGGGAUGGACAUACCUCUGGUGUAUCUGUUGUCUUGCCAAAGGCAUAGCAGAGUAGCUACGUAUGGACGGGAUAAGCGCUGAAGGCAUCUAAGUGCGAAGCCCCCCAUAAGAUUAGGUUUCCCGAUACAGAUUUAUCUGUAGAUAAGACCCCAGAAAGACUAUCUGGUUGAUAGGUCAGAGGUGUAAGUGCAGCAAUGUAUUUAGCUGACUGAUACUAAUAGGUCGAAGGCUUGACC